rnacentral:rRNA from 1 species
CCCUUAGAUGUUCUGGGCCGCACGCGCGCUACAAUGAUGAAUUCAACGAGUUUAUAACCUUGGUUGAAAAGCCUGGGUAAUCUUUUGAACUUUCGUCGUGAUGGGGCUAGACCCUUGCAAUUAUUGGUCUCCAACGAGGAAUUCCUAGUAAACGCAAGUCAUCAGCUUGCAUUGAUUACGUCCCUGCCCUUUGUACACACCGCUCGUCGCACCUACCGAUUGAAUGGUCCGGUGAAAUCUUCGGAUUGAGACUUUGAUUUCUUCACGGAAAACGCUGUUUUAAGAAGUUGAUUAAACCUUACCAUUUAGAGGAAGGUGAAGUCGUAACA